UUUCAAAUGUGUUUGAACAAUUCAGAUGAGAAGUGCCCAGUAGAUACUUGUCUGGCAAGAUGAAAUGUCUUGAGAAAAAGGAAAGAUUAACAACAUUUUGGAUGGGGCAGCAGGACAAAAAAGAAGAAUACUAUACCAGUCACAUGCAGAAUGAAUGAUGGAGGAAGGAACUACUUGUCUCCUAGGACCAGGGAAUUUAGGAAUGGCAAAGGAGCUUCUCUGAGCAUUUAGGUGGCAUAAAGAGAGGUCACACUGCAGGAGGAGUAUUUCCCGAUGAGGUGCUGAAGAACUAAACACUGAUCGAUGGUGGAGCAACCUUCCCUGAAGCCUGCUUGUUCCUCAGCAAGAAGAUUUUCCUGUUCCAGCCAGUACCUCAGUUUCCCAUAUAAGUGUCACACGUAAAGUUUUCUAAUAGUAUUGAGCAAACUAAUGGGUCCGUAAUUGGCGGAGACAUCCUUCCUGCCCUUUUAAAAUAUGGGGGCGAUGAUCACUAACCCCCAGUCCUUGGGAAUUCAACCUCUUGUAUCAAUAUAGGCAAUGCCAAAAUAGGAGCCCACCAAUCCAGAUUGGUUUUGACAGCCUCCGGCGGAAUAAGGUCUUCCCCUGGAGCCUUCCCUGGUCUUAACUGGGCAACUAGACUGUGGAUCUCUGAAGUUGUAACAGGAUCCCAUGCUGGAGUACCCUCAAUGGGACAGGCAGGGCUUCCACAAUCACCGCAGGGUCUUUGUAUAUCUCACGAAAGUAUUUCUCCCAAAUCUCUGGGUGAAAGUGACAAUCCAAGUGGUUCGGACUGUACCUGGGAGAGUGCUUUGUGAAUGUGAAAGAACGUUAUAGGAACGGAAAAGAAAUAAAUCAGCAGGAAAAGUUAAUCUGGCAGCUGACCUUUUGAAACUAGCAGGAAAUUAUUUCAGAACA